rnacentral:rRNA from 1 species
GAGUUUGAUCCUGGCUCAGAAUCAACGCUGGCGGCGCGCCUAACACAUGCAAGUCGAACGAGAAAGCGGGAGCAAUCUCGCAAGUACAGUGGCGUACGGGUGAGUAACACGUGGAUGAUCUGCCCUGGAGUGGGGAAUAACGCUGGGAAACCGGCGCUAAUACCGCAUAUUCCCGAGAGGGGAAAGCAGCAAUGCGCUCGAGGAGGAGUCCGCGGCCGAUUAGCUAGUUGGCAGGGUAAAAGCCUAUCAAGGCUAUGAUCGGUAGCCGGCCUGAGAGGGCACACGGCCACACUGGCACUGAAACACGGGCCAGACUCCUACGGGAGGCAGCAGUGGGGAAUCUUGCACAAUGGGGGAAACCCUGAUGCAGCGACGCCGCGUGAGCGAUGAAGCCCUUCGGGGUGUAAAGCUCUUUCGGCAGGGAAGAUUAUGACGGUACCUGCGGAAGCAGCUGCGGCUAACUACGUGCCAGCAGCCGCGGUAAUACGUAGGCAGCAAGCGUUGUUCGGAGUUACUGGGCGUAAAGGGUGUGUAGGCGGCCUGUUAAGUUCCGUGUGAAAUCUCCCGGCUCAACCGGGAGGAUGCGCGGAAUACUGACGGGCUAGAGUGCGGGAUGGGAGAGUAGAAUUCCUGGUGUAGCGGUGAAAUGCGUAGAUAUCAGGAGGAAUACCGGUGGUGUAGACGGCUCUCUGGACCGUAACUGACGCUGAGACACGAAAGCGUGGGUAGCAAACAGGAUUAGAUACCCUGGUAGUCCACGCCCUAAACGAUGCAUAUUUGGUGUAGGUCAUUCAGUUGAUCUGUGCCGGAGCUAACGCGUUAAAUAUGCCGCCUGGGGAGUACAGUCGCAAGGCUGAAACUCAAAGGAAUUGACGGGGGCCCGCACAAGCGGUGGAGCAUGUGGUUCAAUUCGACGCAACGCGAAGAACCUUACCUGGGCUCGAACGGCUGGUCAACGAUCGUGGAAACACGGUUACUCCGCAAGGGGGUCCAGUCGAGGUGCUGCAUGGCUGUCGUCAGCUCGUGUCGUGAGAUGUUGGGUUAAGUCCCGCAACGAGCGCAACCCUCGUCUCCAGUUGCCAUCAGGUUAUGCUGGGCACUUUGGAGAAACUGCCGGUGACAAGCCGGAGGAAGGUGGGGAUGACGUCAAGUCCUCAUGGCCCUUACGGGCUGGGCUACACACGUGCUACAAUGGCGGUGACAAUGGGAUGCGAAGGGGCGACCCGGAGCCGAUCCUAAAAAACCGUCUCAGUUCGGAUUGCACUCUGCAACUCGAGUGCAUGAAGGUGGAAUCGCUAGUAAUCGAGGAUCAGCAUGCCUCGGUGAAUACGUUCCCGGGCAUUGCACACAC